AGGGUGAUUAUGAUGAUACCUCCAUUCUUUCGAUAGACUAGAUGUAUCUUGCUCAUUUUUGGGUUAUGGUUCCUCUCCUUCAACCUCUUGUUCUUCAUUCUUUUUUUUUUUUUUUGCGAGGGAUUGUCUUCAAUGGUCAUCUCCUUCAAUUUUUCUUCAAGAGUUCCUACAUCCACAUCAAGCUCUUCUUCCCUUGCUUUCGGAGAGUUAGUCUCAUCAAAAAUAAUAUACACCGACCCCUCUACUAUUAAUGUUCCCUUGUUAAACACUCUAUAUGCUCUACUAUGAGAUGAAUAACCUAAAAAAAUACCUUCAUUAGAUUUUGCAUCAAAUUUUUCUAGUUUAUCUUUACCAUUUAUUAGGAUAAAAUAUUUACAAUCAAAAAUUUUGAAGUAUGAAAUAUUAGGCUUCUUUUUCUUAUAAAGCUCAUAUGGGGUUUUCUUUAAAAUUGAUCUUAUUAGUGCUCUAUUUAGU
rnacentral:lncRNA from 1 species